CCAGGUGCUGGAUGUAAACUUCCUACAGUUAACAUGUGUGUGGUUCUGCUCCAUAUAAUUUGCAGCAGGCUAUUCAGGCUGUUAAUCCAGUUUUCUCAGACAGCUGUAAGAGAAUAUUUCUCCCAGUUAGAUUGUUGUUAUGCAAUUUAUACUUUAAAUGUCUUACAAAGUCUAGAUGUCAACACACACUCAUGUUUUGCACUUUUGCCUAUAGAUAUCACAGCAAAAACGGGAGUUUGACUCUCAGUUAUUAGUGCUACAUUUCCUAGUUAAGAACAGAACAGAAACUUUGUUACUGAGAUCUGACUUCAAUCUCUGGCUGCGCUCUGAACUCCAAAUAGGAUGGCAUUUUCUACUGUAAGAUCUGUUUCCUCUGUGAUGUUCUAAUUUCCCAUCCAAGUGGCAGGAACAGGAAUGCUGAUGUGUGAGGAGCCUUAAGUCUCAUUGUAGUUGUCAUUUCACUCCUCUGUGAAGAGGGACUAGAGACUCUCUAGAACACAAGUCUGAUAAGGGGCAGCUGAGGGAGUUGGGUGGGCUCAUCCUGGAGAAAAUGAGGAUCAGAGGAACCUUCUCACUCUCUACAAGUGCCUGAAAGGAGCUUGUGGUGAGGUGGGGGCUCAUGUCUUCUCCCAAGUAGAAGUGGUAGGACAAAGAGGAAACAGCCUCAAGUUGUGCAGGGGAGGUUUCCAUUGGAUAUCAGGAAAAAUUUCUACAUUGAAAGGGUUGUCAAACAUUGGAACAGGCUGCCCAGGACAGUGGUGGAGUCAUCACCUGUAGCAGGAUGCUCUGCCUGGAGUGGGGGUAAAACAACUCAAACUUCACCCUAUUUGCAAAACUGUCAGUGGGGAAUGGAGAAGGGUGGGACUCACACUGCUUUUGGUGUUGAAUAAUGCUGAAACCAGCCUGACUUUUUGAACUCAAGGUUAAACAUCCUGACAGUGAGAUGAAUAUACGGCAGAGCUGGUAAAGUACCUGAUAAAGAAACCAACAGGUGACACUACAGAUACUUAUCUGCUGAGCUGACAGAUGGCCUGGGGAUUUCAUACUGUAAAAGCCCAGUCCUACUUUUUGACAGCAGGCUCUUCUAACACCUUCGGGUGUGUGUGGAAAUCCCUUCCUUGAGUGGGGAUGACUCUCAAGCUCACUCCUCAAAGGCUGAGUGAAAGAGUUGUUGGUCUGGGUGAGUAACAUCAUAAUUGCUACUUCAUAAUUGUUUUGGCUAGCUUUAAUAUAAUUUCUUCAGUAUUGUUUCAAAAAUAGUUCACUAUGCUGCACUAGUAGUUAUAGCUAUCCAUGCUAUGUAGUAAAUAAUUCUGAUUAAGAUCUUUUAGUCUAAUCAUUAUCAUAAUAAAUCAUUAAUUUUUAUAUUAAUAUAUUUGAUUUGCCAUCCUUAAUCCUGUGGGACAAAGCGGUAUAAAGUUGCAAUUACACCUAUAUAAUCCUUUGACAUAAACUGCUGACAAAGUCUUGGACUACUUGAUCCAGCAGCACCCAGAGUCCUCUCUGAGAAGGAGUUUAGAAAGCCAGGUGAUCCUUUCUGCACCUCACUGCCAUUUGUACUAACCAGACAGUAAUGCCAUUUUUAUUUUUUUUCUCUGACAGAGAUGUGCUGUCACUACUAUCAAUGACUUUUUCUAUUUCUAUGUCACAUUUGUUUUCAAAGGCUGGCUAAUCAAGUGUGACCAAUUAAUGUUCAGGGUGAUUAAUUGCCUUGUCUGAUUUUUUUUUUUCUUGAGGUGUGCAGUGUGUGAAGAGUUAAGAAGUGAUACAUAAACCAGAGAGCUGAUUCUUGCUUACAAAGUAUUACCAACAGAUUUAUUCCAUCAUUGUAACACACACUGCCUGAGGUGUUUCUUCCCUGGACUUACACUUUAUUGUCUUAGUUACCAAUUGAAUUUUGUGCCUCAUCCCCCUCCCCCUCCUGUGUCCAUCCCUAAGAUUUAGCUGUCUCCAUUUUUUGUAUGGGUUUGAGAAAACCCAACCCUGAAUUUCAGAUGGAUCCCCUGCAGUCCCCAGCAGCUGCGGUCGGUGUAAUGUAAAGCUCUCAGACAUGGAUGCUGACACAGACGGGAUCAAAUUACAAAUGUCUUAGAGAGUGACACACUGGAAGUCGAAAGAAACCUCUCUGUACUGUAGAAUGGAGCAUGAACAGACCUGCAGUUUUAUAAAAAUAAUAAUAAACAACUGGAUGAAGAGCUCAGGUUUCUUAACAUCAGGCAUGAAAUCAGCCCAGCUGCUCUUCAAUACCCUGUUGAUCCUUGAACAGGAAUAUCCUGAGUAAGGUGCUGAGUCUGCCUGUUGUUAGCAGCCAGCUUUGCCUUGUAAGGUGAUGCAAUACCUAAGAAAACACAGAAAUCUCGACACUGUAAACACCUGCCAAGCACUCGUGUGCAGCUCCAACUCAGCCUCACUACUGGCAGUGUGCAAAGAAGGGGCUGGGCAUUGCAUGUGCAGAGUCUCUCUCUCUGGUUUCACCUUGUCUGUGUCUCUGCUGCUUUUCAGUAGCACACACCACAGUGGCUUGCAUUUGGCAUGAAAUUCUGAGGGAGGGUCAAGCCCUUGCUGCCACCAAAACUGCAGGAAAGACAAAAAAACUCUCCAACAACAUUUUUAAUGUUAGAGAAUGAAGGCAUUACUUUAUUCUCGCCAGGAUGUGCAACAGAAAUAAUUUCAUCCACACAUAGCCUGGGGUGUGCAGAGAAAAUCAUUCUAUGACACGUGAAUUUUAUUAGAUUUUUCAGAUACUUACACCAUCAAAACCCAGAGAAAUUAAUUGGCUCAAUGUUCAUUGGUCCCAGGUUAUGCAGUUCUUAGUAUUUGGUUUUUUAUCAGAUGUUUUGGUGACAUUGUGACCUAUCAGUGCUGGCUUUGCUGUCACUGCAGCAGCCUCUUGUUAAUCUUGUCCAGGCUAUGGAAUUUUGAGCCUCUGCAGCUGAUGAGGCUGUCGGCAAAGGCUCUGCCUUUGAAGUAUGUGCAAUCUUCCAUCCAGUCUGACUUAGGCCAGAAUCCUAAUGAGGAUUUUCCAAAUCAGUGUGAUCAACAAGACUGCUAAAAGAGUGUGAAGCUGAGUAGUUAACCAUCUGACUCCAGAGGGGUGCUGGGCAGAAGCAGAAAAUGUGAGAUUUAACUGGGUCAUAUGCACUUCCUCACAUGCCCAUCACUGAGCAUUCUGGCUGCUGUAGCUGUUACCAAAACACUGCAACCCGGUCACAAGGUUUCCCCUAAGCCUUCUUUCCCUUCAAGAAUUAAAACACCCAGUUCUCAGCCUUUCCUCGUGUGGCAGCUUUCCAGGCUUUGGAGCGCCUUUGUGGCCCUUCUCUGGACCCUUUCCAACCUGUCCACAUCUUUUUUUUUUGUAUAGCAGGGAUCAAACUGUAUUCCAGGCUUGGCCUGUCAAGCGUUGAGAGGGACAGUGACUGCUCUGGCUCUGCUGGUGAUGCCCUGCUUGGUGCCCAGUGUCCUUGCUCUGCUGCAGCAGCACUCUGGUCACUCAUUUUGCUGCUCACCCCCCAGAACCCCCAGGGACCUUUCCACGGUUUGGAGGUGUCCCCAUCCUAAUUCAUUUUGAAGCAAAAAGCACAGAAAGAAAGGUUGUGUCCAAUGAGGCCCCAAAAUUGGAUCUGGCAUAAUCAGUCCAUAUUCCCAGAAACAGGGUGGACGUAAUUGGCAGAAGAGUAGGGAAAUCUAAGUUUCAGGCAUGGCUAAUUGACCAAAGUUUGAAAUGCACAGAAUGUCUUCCUGACAGGAAGUUCUCUUUCCCAAGCCUAAAUAUGUAAAUCACAAACGUUACUUUUGUUCAGUCUCUCUCUGCAAGAGGAGCUAUGGUAGCAUGAGUUAAUAACCUGUAAUCUGAAUUUUGGGUUCUAUUUUCAAGCUGCUGUAUAAGGGCAAUAGGACAGAAGAUUUCCACCAGCCCAUAGAACUUUGCUCAUAAGACUUGCCAUGCUUUUCAAGUCUAGGUGCAGGUAGGCCCAGUAUGCAAGGAAGUGUCUGGGUAGGUUUCUUGCACCUUUGUGGCUGUCUGAGACACAACACAGACUCUGGAAAGAACGAUUUUGUAUCAAGUCUUGUGAAUAAAACAGUCCUUUUAAGCAUUCAUGGCAGCCACUUUUUAUAAUGUUCUGAAUGAGAGAAGACAGUUCAGGCACUCUGUCUACAGGAAGGAAGCAAUUAUUUUAUUAGCACUUUGAGAAAUUAAAUUAUGUGAAUUAUGGCAGAAUAAGUUUAGCAAAAAUGCUAUAAUGUAAGAAAACAAUUAAAAAGAGUUAUAUAAGGUUGGGUGGCUUCUUUAUUCUGAUAGAGUGUGCAGUUAAUUGAUUGUCAUAUUGCUAUAAUGUACCCAGACAGUUGUGAGAGCAAAUAGAGAGAUCUCUGCUCAGGAGAUGAAGUGCAGAGAAAGGGCCACGUCUUGUAGGGAAAAGGGAAUGAGCACUAGGCUGCCACCCUCAGCUCCUAUUCCCUGUAUCCUGUGAAGGGAUGUAAAGAGAAUGAUAGGGAAUUUCUCUGUACUCAGCUUCCAUGGCCUGAUGCUGCAAGAUCACAUUGAGUGCUCCUCAUGACAGUGAUGCAGGAAGCAAAAGGGCUCCAGAACUGGGUUCCAGAAAUGAGAGAAGCAGAGAGGUUGCUCCAUUGGCACUGGUAAGGGAGCCAGGCAGUUUGUACCAGCCCAGCCACUGGCAUCCUGUUCCUUUCUGAAAGUGCUCAACAAGCUGUAAACCCCCUUGGGCUGUUGGUCAGGUGUAGUUUUAAAGAAGCUGGAAGAAAAUUGUAUCCUUUCCCAUAAAAGCCCAUUGCACUUGGUUUAGCACAGAGAAGCAUGUAGCUUCUAGCCAGGAAAGCAGCUGUAUCAGAAGAAAGGAAAUUAAUCUAGAAGCAGCAAGUUAAAAAUCACUUGCAUUAUUGGUCUGAAGUGUCAUUUUCUUAAAAUCUGUGAACUCUUCACUCACUGGUACUCACAGGUUUUUACACUACGUAGUAUCACCUCUUCUGCUUAAUUUUUCAGCAUGGCUUGUACUUUCACUGGGGUACUUUCACUUCCCUGCACCACCAUGAAACUCAGAAACAUUCCAAAAAACUUGACUGAUGUGGUGUCACAGAGAGCAUCCCCGAGAGCAGAUGAGGACCAUGUGUGCAGCUCACCAGCGCCUGGGACUGACAGCAGCAGUGGGGCAGGCACUGACCAGCAAGAAUUCUGUCUGGAUCUGGGCGAGCCAGCAACUUCUGUGCCUCAGUUUCUCACCUGCAGAGGGGAAAACACAGCAGUGUGAAGCACUAAAAGUCAAGAGUGUGAAGGGAGGACCCUCCAAUGUCUGUCAGACCAGGUGUCCCGGACUAUGCCAGGGAUUUGAAGUUGAUGGUCAUUAAUGGUCGUUAUCUUUGUGUAUCUUCUGUGCUACUCCCACUCUAUUCAGCUCAUCAGGCCUCGAGUGCUGAAACAGUCCUUUGAAAAGAAACUUAAAAUUCCUUUCCCCUAGGGCAAAGGCGAACAAGACUGAAUAAAGUUACUAAAAAAAUUUAAGUUUUCUAUCAUUUUCCAACAACGGGGUGGGGAAGAUGCGGUGGCAGCACCGGGGAGGGUGUUCAGAGCCACCUGAGGAGCUCUCAGCAGAGGAUUGCAGAGCAUCCAGCAAUGAUGGGAGUCGAGCUCCAGGAACAGGCUCAUCCUGCCAGAUUUUGAACUGAUUCCUCCUCCUGCCAAGCAGUGGAUUCACGGUGAGCCCAGAAUUACCACUCAGCUUUUUUAUACCAAAGAAGGAAGUUGAAAUGCUUAGCAAGGCAUCCUGAGCCUGGGACAGCGCAGAAGAUGAUUCUGAUGGACCCAGGAAUGCAUUAUGAAGGAAAGGGUUUCUGGCACCCAAAUUUGGGGGCAAAAAUUAACCCAUUUUUCAUAGAAUUCUUCUUUUGGUCCAAAAAUCAGCUUUCUGUUGUCUAGCUACAGACAGUAUUGAUUGAUUGUUAAGACUAGAAGACAAAAAGCAGAAUCUCUGCCUUGUUUCUUCUGACAUAUCAGUGCAAUUUCCUGAGAAGCUAAGCAGGGAUCCAACAGCCCCAGGAACAUAAUUCAAUAACAACAAAACUGGGAAGAGCAUCUUGAAAGAAGUUAUUAACACAGACCUCCUGAAAAUCAGAAAAUUCAGAAUAUGCUAUGGAUUGAAUUCCAUCUAAGAUUAAUUUGAUUCAAUUACUUUUAUUUUUUUUUAAAUGCUAGGCCAUCCCCAUUCCUUAUCUAAAAAUGGAGAGAAAUUCAGUGAUGCAAAAUAAGUCUAGUGUCUAGGAAAAGUCAUUAUCCAGAACUAGGUCUUGAUCAAUCAAUAUAGACUUCAUUCUUGCAUAUAAAUCACAGUAAAGAAGCUAAGAAUAUCCAUGUAGAAGUAGAAGUAUCAGUCAAGUGUGUUUUCACAUUUUCAAUUUUAAAAGUAUUGGAAGUAAUACAGCAAAUCUGUCCCCAGGGACACUUAGCCCUUUUUGCCUUUAUCUCUACUUGCUACCUCUGACUUUUUUAUUACAUAUAAGUGGAAAAGGGAUGGGGGAAGAAAGCUUAUAUGCACUGGAAGACUGUGUGAAAAACAUGUGUAACCUCUGCUCUUUUUGAAAGUGGCAAGAGAAAUCCACGGAAUUACAAUUUGAGAAAAAUUAUUUUCUGAAGAACCUGCAGUGGGAUUGGAAGGUCAUUGAGCUACAGGACCUGAGGUAUUUCUGCCCAUAGUAAUCAUUAUAUUAAAACUUCGGAUUCUGAGAGUCUGAAAAGAGGAUCCUACUUCAUCAGAAUUUUACCUUCUUUUCUUUAAAAAGCGUUUAGUCCUGUUGUUUGGCCAAGUGGGCUUCCAGGGAGAACUUAGUGAGGGGAAGAAGUGAGGGAUCCAUUUGCAGCACUCGACAUUUUCUGAGUGAAGCCCCUGCUGGGGUGGGGUUCAUGCUGCUUUGCCAGACAAACUGUGUGUGUCAUACUGCAAACCUAA